AGGAAAAUGAGGGAAUGUCUGACUCUGACGCCCCAAUCUGCAAUUCUCUUCAGAUUUCCAGCAGCCUUUGACCGAAUCUCGGCCGUCCAUCACCCAGCCCGAGAUAUCCGCUCUUUUAAUUUUCAGUUUCUACUUUCUACUUUCUACCCGCUUUUUUUAUUACUAUUUUUCUUUAAUUUCUUGGAUUUUGUUUGUCAAGCAGUUCUAGCUCACCAUUGGGAUCGGAUCUAUUUUCUGCCUCCUUCCAACAUUGAAUCCUAUCUGACGCCACUUGGAUUAUAUCAACUAUCGAACCCAGUAAUUUUUUAUUUUUAUAAAUUUUCUAGGUUGUAGGAGGAUUGGAGAUUGUUGUUGUUCUAUGAGAGAGAAGAACAAAAACAGAGGCUCAGAGAGAGAGAACCGGAGGAAUUGAAAUUUUCUUAUGGAGUAGUACGUGUUGGUUUCUGUGGUUUGUUGUUUUAAUUAAUGGGCAAUGUAACUUCUAGUGUUGCUGCAAAAUUUGCAUUUUUCCCUCCAGACCCACCAACCUAUGAUGUGUUCAGAGAAAAUGGGAAGCUUUAUUUCUCUGGAGUCACGGGUGAUAAGAAUGUGGAUGUUCAUCUGCUUGAUACCAAGGGAGGCAACAAGAUAGUUGCUACAUUUUGGAGAUACCCACUUGCUAGGUUUACUCUUUUGUAUUCUCAUGGCAACGCCGCCGAUUUGGGUCAGAUGCAGGAGCUAUUUAUUCAGCUUAGAGCUCAUCUCCGUAUUAAUAUCAUGAGUUAUGAUUAUUCAGGAUAUGGAGCAUCCUCAGGUAAGCCAUCUGAGUUCAACACAUAUUACGACAUAGAGGCAGUUUAUAAUUGUUUGAAGAGAGAAUAUGGAGUUAAGCAGGAGGAUGUGAUACUGUAUGGACAAUCAGUUGGUAGUGGCCCAGCACUACAUUUAGCUGCACGUUUACAAAGGCUGAGGGCUGUUGUUCUUCAUAGUGCAAUACUUUCAGGCUUACGAGUUUUGUAUCCUGUCAAGAUGACGUUCUGGUUUGACAUUUUUAAAAACAUUGACAAAAUACGGCAUGUCUGCUGCCCAGUCCUUGUUAUACAUGGAACAAAUGAUGAAAUCGUUGAUUGGUCCCACGGAAAACGUUUGUGGGAACUCACCAAGGAAAAAUAUGAUCCACUAUGGGUAAAGGGUGGAGGCCACUGCAACCUGGAAACAUAUCCUGAGUACAUCAGGCAUUUGCGCAAAUUUAUAAAUGCGAUGGAGAGAAUAGAUGUGAAACAGCCAAACCAAAACCUUCCUCCAAACCCAAAUAUCACUGAAACAAAACAUAACAAGUGCUUGAGAUUUGGCAAGAGAUAACUGUUUCUUUCAACUACAAAAGGUAGUGAUGGGAAGCACCUCCUGAGUUCACAUGGGAAAAUCUCAAGAAAUUCCCGGCAAGCUGGCUUGCUGGCUUCGUUGCUUCAUGACCCAAUCUUGGGUGAUCAAGCUCUUUCUACUCUACAUCGAGUGGACUAACAGGAAUCAUGCGGAGAUGUUCAAUCCAAGCACCAUUUUUGACUCUCAAUGUACUACUGGGCAAUGUCCCCACUGAUCAAGUUACAUAGUGUUUCAUAUGCUGUUCGAAGAUUAUCCACUCCUGUAUCUGAAUUUGAUAUAUAAUUUUCCACUUUCGAAGCCUAUGUAAAGACUACUGAUUCAAAACAAAUGAUUUGCAAGAAGGCAUGCCCAAACAAUAGGAAAGAGUCGUGGAGCAACCUCCUCAAAUGGAACAACUUAUGGACAAGCGUUAUGAAGUAUUGAAGCACUAAGAUUAAAGAUCAAGCUUCAAGAGAUCACUUCAAGAAGACCAAGGUGUCUCGGAUGCAAGGAUGACAAAGGACAUUGUCAAAGGUUUCUACAUCGGUGCAAGACUUUGGAAUAGAUUUCAAUUUGCAAUAUUUUGUAAUAUUUAAGUGUAAUUGAUUCUCAUUAGCUCUUACAUCCCCAAAGCUAUGUUUGAUUGCUAGGGAAAUUUAAGGGAAGGGAAGUGAAAUUUCUAAACUAAAUAUAAUCAUUACCCCAUAUGAUUCCAUGUGAUUGUAUAAACUAAUUAAUUUUUUAAUCAUAUUUAGUAAUGAUAUAUUUUACACAUAAA